rnacentral:rRNA from 1 species
UACGUAGGUGGCGAGCGUUGUCCGGAUUUACUGGGCGUAAAGGGAGCGUAGGCGGACUUUUAAGUGAGAUGUGAAAUACCCGGGCUCAACUUGGGUGCUGCAUUUCAAACUGGAAGUCUAGAGUGCAGGAGAUGAGAAUGGGAUUCCUAGUGUAGCGGUGAAAUGCGUAGAGAUUAGGAAGAACACCAGUGGCGAAGGCGAUUCUCUGGACUGUAACUGACGCUGAGGCUCGAAAGCGUGGGGAGCAAACAGGAUUAGAUACCCU